AUUGAACGCUGGCGGCAUGCCUAACACAUGCAAGUCGAACGAGUGGCGGACGGGUGAGUAAUGUCUGGGAAACUGCCUGAUGGAGGGGGAUAACUACUGGAAACGGUAGCUAAUACCGCAUACCAUCAGAUGUGCCCAGAUGGGAUUAUCUAGUUGGUGGGGUAACGGCUCACCAGGGCGACGAUCCCUAGCUGGUCUGUGAGGCUGACCAUCAAAACUGGAACGUAGACACGGUCCAGACUCCUACGGGAGGCAGCAGUGGGGAAUAUUGGACAAUGGGCGGAAGCCUGAUGCAGCCAUGCCGCGUGUAUGAAGAAGGCCUUCGGGUUGUAAAGUACUUUCGGCGGGGAGGCGUUACCCGCAGAAGAAGCACCGGCUAACUCCGUGCCAGCCGCCGCGGUAAUUC
rnacentral:rRNA from 1 species